rnacentral:rRNA from 1 species
CCUACGGGAGGCUGCAGUGAGGAAUAUUGGUCAAUGGGCGGAAGCCUGAACCAGCCAAGUAGCGUGCGGGAUGAAGGCCCUACGGGUCGUAAACCGCUUUUGCACGGGGAUAACACCCUCCACUUGUGGAGGUCUGCAGGUACCGUGCGAAUAAGGGCCGGCUAAUUCCGUGCCAGCAGCCGCGGUAAUACGGAGGGCCCGAGCGUUAUCCGGAUUCAUUGGGCUUAAAGGGAGCGUAGGGGGGCGUUCAAGUCAGCUGUAAAAUCGCGCGGCUCAACCGCGCCCCGCAGUUGAAACUGGACGCCUUGAGUUCACAACAGGCAGGCGGAAUUCGUGGUGUAGCGGUGAAAUGCAUAGAUAUCACGAGGAACCCCGAUUGCGAAGGCAGCCUGCCGGGGUGCGACUGACGCUGAGGCGCGAAAGCGUGGGGAGCAAACAGGAUUAGAUACCCGAGUAGUC